rnacentral:rRNA from 1 species
UACGAAGGGGGCUAGCGUUGCUCGGAAUUACUGGGCGUAAAGGGCGCGUAGGCGGAUACUUAAGUCGGGGGUGAAAGCCCAGGGCUCAACCCUGGAACAGCCUUCGAUACUGGGUAUCUUGAGUACGGGAGAGGUGUGUGGAACUCCGAGUGUAGAGGUGAAGUUCGUAGAUAUUCGGAAGAACACCAGUGGCGAAGGCGACACACUGGCCCGUUACUGACGCUGAGGCGCGAAAGCGUGGGGAGCAAACAGG